rnacentral:rRNA from 2 species
UGCUGCAUGGCUGUCGUCAGCUCGUGUUGUGAAAUGUUGGGUUAAGUCCCGCAACGAGCGCAACCCUUAUCCUUUGUUGCCAGCGGUCCGGCCGGGAACUCAAAGGAGACUGCCAGUGAUAAACUGGAGGAAGGUGGGGAUGACGUCAAGUCAUCAUGGCCCUUACGACCAGGGCUACACACGUGCUACAAUGGCGCAUACAAAGAGAAGCGACCUCGCGAGAGCAAGCGGACCUCAUAAAGUGCGUCGUAGUCCGGAUUGGAGUCUGCAACUCGACUCCAUGAAGUCGGAAUCGCUAGUAAUCGUGGAUCAGAAUGCCACGGUGAAUACGUUCCCGGGCCUUGUACACACCGCCCGUCACACCAUGGGAGUGGGUUGCAAAAGAAGUAGGUAGCUUAACCUUCGGGAGGGCGCUUACCACUUUGUGAUUCAUGACUGGGGUGAAGUCGUAACAAGGUAACCGUAGGGGAACCUGC